rnacentral:rRNA from 1 species
GUAAGCUAUCGCUGGAGGGAGUGGGCCUGCCGGGCCAUUAGCUUGUUGGUGAGGUAACGGCUCACCAAGGCUGUGAUGGCUAGCUGGUCUGAGAGGAUGACCAGCCACACUGGGACUGAGACACGGCCCAGACUCCUACGGGAGGCAGCAGGUGGGAAUAUUGCGCAAUGGGCGAAAGCCUGACGCAGCGACGCCGCGUGGGUGAUGAAGGCCUUCGGGUCGUAAAGCCCUGUCGCAGGGGAAGAAUAAGCAUCGGUAUAAUACGCCGGUGCCCUGACGGUACCCUGCAAGAAAGCACCGGCUAACUCCGUG